rnacentral:lncRNA from 1 species
AGGUGACUGUAACACAGAUUGAUGAAAGAUUCUGCAGGACGACAAAGGUUAAAGAUGCAGACCCGGAGCUAGAAGCCAGUGCUGACACUGAUGGAGUGGACUGCAAUGAGAAUGCCCACAUUAUUGUCCUAUCCUCUGAUAACCAAUGUAAUAUGAAAACUGACUACAGAAGAAAGGAACAAAUUAAAUCCAUUAAUCAAGCAUAUCUCUGCUAAACAGUUGUUCUAAAGAGAUGAACAAAUGAAAAAUUUACUGUUUGUUUUCAUGCUUUCAAGGAUUGGGGAAGAAAAUUAAUUAUAAGGUACUGGCCACACUAUUAGUUAAGUUUUUUUCUUGAGGAAACUAUUUAUUGCAUUGUCAAAGGACAAAUGAACCUCAUUAGGGAGAUUAGUUUCGGUUGGUAGUUUUGCAUUAGGACAAACUAAUAAUACACACUUCAAAAGAUACCCUAAGUAAAAUUAUGGAAAUUGAAAAUCCAUUUUUUACUUCUUAAUUUAUGAACUGGUCGAAAAUGACCACUCUAUUACCUAUCAUGCAACCAGAAG